rnacentral:rRNA from 1 species
UACGUAGGGUGCAAGCGUUGUCCGGAAUUAUUGGGCGUAAAGAGCUCGUAGGCGGCCUGUCGCGUCGGAUGUGAAAAUCCAAGGCUCAACCUUGGACCUGCAUUCGAUACGGGCAGGCUAGAGUUCGGUAGGGGGGACUGGAAUUCCUGGUGUAGCGGUGAAAUGCGCAGAUAUCAGGAGGAACACCGGUGGCGAAGGCGGGUCUCUGGGCAGUAACUGACGCUGAGGAGCGAAAGCGUGGGGAGCGAACAGG